GCGGGAAAACUCACCAGGUCCAGACAAAGAUAGGAUUGACAGAMKRAUAGCUCUUUCUUARUUYUAUGGGKGGUGGUGCAUGGCCGUUCUUAGUUGGUGGAGUGAUUUGUCUGGUUAAUUCCGUUAACGAACGAGACCUUAMCCUGCUAAAUAGUUUCCUGAACCUCGGUUCAUCGGUUUACUUCUUAAAGGGACUUCUUGUGUUUAACGCGAGGAAAUUUGAAGCAAUAA
rnacentral:rRNA from 1 species